UUCCAGACUCCUACGGGAGGCAGCAGUGGGGAAUCUUCCGCAAUGGGCGCAAGCCUGACGGAGCAACGCCGCGUGAGUGAAGAAGGUCUUCGGAUCGUAAAGCUCUGUUGAUGGGGACGAACGUGCGAAGGGUGAAUAAUCCUUUGUAAUGACGGUACCUAUCGAGGAAGCCACGGCUAACUACGUGCCAGCAGCCGCGGUAAUACGUAGGUGGCGAGCGUUGUCCGGAAUCAUUGGGCGUAAAGGGAGCGCAGGCGGGCAUGUAAGUCUUUCUUAAAAGUGCGGGGCUCAACCCCGUGAUGGGAAAGAAACUAUGUGUCUUGAGUACAGGAGAGGAAAGCGGAAUUCCCAGUGUAGCGGUGAAAUGCGUAGAUAUUGGGAGGAACACCAGUGGCGAAGGCGGCUUUCUGGACUGCAACUGACGCUGAGGCUCGAAAGCCAGGGGAGCGAACGGGAUUAGAUACCCCGGUAGUCCUGGCCGUAAACGAUGGAUACUAGGUGUGGGAGGUAUCGACCCCUACCGUGCCGGAGUUAACGCAAUAAGUAUCCCGCCUGGGGAGUACGGCCGCAAGGCUGAAACUCAAAGGAAUUGACGGGGGCCCGCACAAG
rnacentral:rRNA from 1 species